CCUACGGGUGGCUGCAGUAAGGAAUAUUGGUCAAUGGAGGAAACUCUGAACCAGCCAUCCCGCGUGAAGGAUGAAGGGGCUCUGCCUUGUAAACUUCUUUUGUCUGGGGCGAAAAAGCUCGAUUUAUCGAGAACUGACGGUACCAGAAGAAUAAGCACCGGCUAACUCCGUGCCAGCAGCCGCGGUCAUACGGAGGGUGCCGGAAUUACCCGGAAUCAAGGGGUUGUAGGCGUCCUAGGAAGGCUGUGUUGAAAGGCUGUGGCUUAACCAUGGAAUUGCCAUUGAUACUGCAGAGCUUGAAUGAGGUUGAGGUUGGCGGAAUGUGACAUGUAGCGGUGAAAUGCUUAGAUAUGUCAUGGAACACCGAUUGCGAAGGCAGCUGACUGGACCUAUAUUGACGCUGAGGCACGAAAGCGUGGGGAGCGAACAGGAUUAGAUACCCUAGUAGUC
rnacentral:rRNA from 1 species